rnacentral:rRNA from 1 species
GAGCGGAUGACGGGAGCUUGCUCCUUGAUUCAGCGGCGGACGGGUGAGUAAUGCCUAGGAAUCUGCCUGGUAGUGGGGGACAACGUUUCGAAAGGAACGCUAAUACCGCAUACGUCCUACGGGAGAAAGCAGGGGACCUUCGGGCCUUGCGCUAUCAGAUGAGCCUAGGUCGGAUUAGCUAGUUGGUGGGGUAAUGGCUCACCAAGGCGACGAUCCGUAACUGGUCUGAGAGGAUGAUCAGUCACACUGGAACUGAGACACGGUCCAGACUCCUACGGGAGGCAGCAGUGGGGAAUAUUGGACAAUGGGCGAAAGCCUGAUCCAGCCAUGCCGCGUGUGUGAAGAAGGUCUUCGGAUUGUAAAGCACUUUAAGUUGGGAGGAAGGGCAGUAAGCUAAUACCUUGCUGUUUUGACGUUACCGACAGAAUAAGCACCGGCUAACUCUGUGCCAGCAGCCGCGGUAAUACAGAGGGUGCAAGCGUUAAUCGGAAUUACUGGGCGUAAAGCGCGCGUAGGUGGUUUGUUAAGUUGGAUGUGAAAGCCCCGGGCUCAACCUGGGAACUGCAUCCAAAACUGGCAAGCUAGAGUACGGUAGAGGGUGGUGGAAUUUCCUGUGUAGCGGUGAAAUGCGUAGAUAUAGGAAGGAACACCAGUGGCGAAGGCGACCACC